GUCAAAGUUAAUAAUGCGUUAACGCAAAUUUGUUUUAACAUCACUAAUUUCUUUAACUCAUUAACGCCACUUGCCAUUUUUAGGUUGUAGCGUGCUCAGUUUUAAAGCUAAAGUGAAGGUACUGGUAUCAUAUGAAACU